AAACCCUCAAGCUCUGCUUGGUAUUGAGCGUCACAGUGAUGGUGCGCUUUAAAAUCAUUGGCGGUGCCAUUUUGGUUCCAGCGUGGUAAAUUUCUCGCUGUGGAUACCUAGGUGUGCUCUUGCCAGCGACCCCUAAUUUUUAAU
rnacentral:misc_RNA from 1 species